UACGGAGGGUGCGAGCGUUGUCCGGAAUCAUUGGGCGUAAAGGGCGCGUAGGUGGCCCGGUCAGUUCGUGGUGAAAGCGCGGGGCUCAACCCUGCGUCGGCCAUGAAUACUGCCGCGGCUGGAGCACUGUAGAGGCAGGCGGAAUUCCGGGUGUAGCGGUGAAAUGCGCAGAUAUCAGGAAGAACACCAAUGGCGAAGGCAGCUCUCUGGGACGGUACUGACGCUGAGACGCGAAAGCGUGGGGAGCGAACAGG
rnacentral:rRNA from 1 species